GAUUUUAUUUAAGGUCUGACCUGCCCUAUGAAUAUUAAAUGGCCGCGGUAUUUUGACCGUGCGAAGGUAGCAUAAUCAUUAGUUUUUUAAUUGAAAGCUUGUAUGAAUGGUUUGACGAGAUAAGAACUGUUUCUAUAUAAAAAUUAUAAUUUUAUUUUUGAGUAAAAAAGCUUAAAUUUUUUUAAAAGACGAGAAGACCCUAUAAAUCUUUAUAUUUUUAUUUUAAAUAAUUUUAGUUUUUUUUUAAUUAUUUUUAUUAAAAUUUAUUUAAUUGGGGAAAUUUAAUGAUUUAUUAAAUUCAUUAUUUUUAUUAUUCAUUUAUAUAUGUUUAAUUGAUCCUUUAUUAAAGAUUAUAAGAUUAAGUUACUUUAGGGAUAACAGCGUAAUUUUUCUGGAGAGUUCAUAUCUAUAGAAGAGAUUGCGACCUCGAUGUUGGAUUAAAAUUAAUUUUGGGUGCAGAAUUUCACAAAAUUUGGUCUGUUCGACCAUUAAAAU
rnacentral:rRNA from 1 species